GGACGGCAGCACGGGUAGCAAUACCUGGUGGCGAGUGGCGCAUGGGUGCGUAACGCGUAUGCAACCUACCCUUAACUGAAACAUAACCUGGCGAAAGCUGGGCUAAUAUCUCAUGAGGUUAUAGAGGGGCAUCCUGAUAUAAUCAAAGCAGCGAUGUGGUUAAGGAUGGGCUUGCGUCCCAUUAGCUAGUUGGCGAGGUAUCGGCUCACCAAGGCGACGAUGGGUAGGGGUUCUGAGAGGAAGGUCCCCCACACUGGUACUGAGACACGGACCAGACUCCUACGGGAGGCAGCAGUAAGGAAUAUUGGGCAAUGGUCGGAAGACUGACCCAGCCAUGCCGCGUGCAGGAAGAAGGCCCUAUGGGUUGUAAACUGCUUUAGCCAGGGGCUAAACCUACCGAUGCGUUGGUAGCUGAAGGUACCUGGAGAAUAAGCAUCGGCUAACUCCGUGCCAGCAGCCGCGGUAAUACGGAGGAUGCGAGCGUUAUCCGGAUUUACUGGGUUUAAAGGGUGCGCAGGCUGCUGUUUAAGUCAGGGGUGAAAGCCCUAUGCUCAACAUAGGGAUUGCCUUUGAUACUGAACGGCUAGAGUGAAGAUGGAGUGGGUGGAAUGUGUUGUGUAGCGGUGAAAUGCAUAGAUAUAACACAGAACACCGAUCGCGAAGGCAGCUCACUAAUUUUCAACUGACGCUCAUGCACGAAAGCGUGGGGAUCAAACAGGAUUAGAUACCCUGGUAGUCCACGCUGUAAACGAUGAUCACUAGCUGUUGGUACGCUGAAGUAUCAGUGGCUAAGCGAAAGU
rnacentral:rRNA from 1 species